CAAAAAGUAGCUUACCCUCAAAGCAUUCACCCUACAACUGAAAAACGUUCAAACACAACCUUUUUGA
rnacentral:tRNA from 1 species